rnacentral:rRNA from 1 species
AACGUACGCUGGCGGCAGGCUUAACACAUGCAAGUCGAGCGCCCCGCAAGGGGAGCGGCAGACGGGUGAGUAACGCGUGGGAAUCUACCCAUCUCUACGGAAUAACGCAUGGAAACGUGUGCUAAUACCGUAUACGUCCUUCGGGAGAAAGAUUUAUCGGAGAUGGAUGAGCCCGCGUUGGAUUAGCUAGUUGGUGGGGUAAAGGCCUACCAAGGCGACGAUCCAUAGCUGGUCUGAGAGGAUGAUCAGCCACACUGGGACUGAGACACGGCCCAGACUCCUACGGGAGGCAGCAGUGGGGAAUAUUGGACAAUGGGCGCAAGCCUGAUCCAGCCAUGCCGCGUGAGUGAUGAAGGCCCUAGGGUUGUAUAGCUCUUUCACCGGUGAAGAUAAUGACGGUAACCGGAGAAGAAGCCCCGGCUAACUUCGUGCCAGCAGCCGCCGUAACAC